rnacentral:rRNA from 1 species
UACAGAGGGUGCAAGCGUUGUUCGGAAUCACUGGGCGUAAAGAGCGUGUAGGCGGUGUGAUAAGUCGGUUGUGAAAGACUCGGGCUUAACCUGAGCAGUGCAUUCGAUACUGUCACGCUAGAGUCCCGGAGGGGAUGGCGGAAUUCCAGGUGUAGAGGUGAAAUUCGUAGAUAUCUGGAGGAACACCUGUGGCGAAGGCGGCCAUCUGGACGGGCACUGACGCUGAGGCGCGAAAGCGUGGGUAGCAAACAGG